ACCACAUGGCUGGAGGUGAGCUUCAGAUCUGGGCUGCUUCCUGGACACAGAAAAUAAAGCAGGACAGGAGAUGCAGAGAGCAUGGAAUGCUCUUCACUACAGGCUCCGUGGAAGGAACUCGCAUCAGGCCAGCUGAGAAAGCCAGUUUGACAUUCACCUGUGGCAGACCUGGGUUUUGACUGAACCGCUUGCUCCUUGAGGCCCGAGGCCCUGAGGACUCAUCUCUAUAGCCCCUGCAUCUGGCCAGGACUUGGUUGCAAAAUGACUUCUGGCAACUGACAGGCUCCACGUUGAGUGUUCACACUGUGCCCAAUUCUGCCCUGAGCACUUUGCUUGGUUUCUCCACAACAAUAUUGUGAUCAGUAUAAUUACUGUUAUUCCCAUUUUAUAGAUGAGAAAAAUAGUAAUGGAGGAAAUGGAAGGAAAAAGGAUGGCCAUAAGUUGGAGGCAGGUGAAAGACCCAAAUUCAUGGAAGAGAAGUGAGUCACACAGGGAGCCAGUGGCAGAGCCACACCCCACAGAGCAAUCAACAUGCUCUACUCUGCAGACCUGCAACAGGGAGGGAAGCCAGACUCUGAUGCAAGAAGGAAAGACCAUGUGCUGGCUCAGUGUGUGCAGCCUGGACUGAGCUACUGAACUCUAAAUCCAAGGAUGACUAAUAGGCAGAAUGACAUUAAUACCAGACCUGAUGAAGACAGCACAAAAAGUAAAUCUCAACACAACCUCACAAUAUUAAUAAAGCAAAAAUUUUAAAUACA
rnacentral:lncRNA from 1 species